GCACUGCUGAAGACUCGCACAACAAGACGAAGCGGCCGCCCAGUGC
rfam:Schistosoma mattheei strain Denwood, Zambia genome assembly, scaffold: SMTD_scaffold0007814